rnacentral:ribozyme from 12 species
AAGCCCGAAAAACCGUAAACCAAACAACCGAAACGAAUGAAGCAAACCAAAAAGAAAGAAAGAAAAAAAACGGACGGGAUGGGGUCGUUACAUGUGCGUAUGUGCGCCACGGCUCCCACGUCUCGUAGUUGUGCAACCCUUCGUUUUGUUCUCCUCUCUCUCUC